ACAAGACCAACAACAAAACCACCAACGACAACAGCUGCUACUACAGACUGGCGUUGGUGGUUGAUCUUCGUGCCCGUGGUGGUUUUUAUAGUUCUGUUAGUGGUCGUUGUGAAAGUCAUCAGAUGGAAAGGAAACAGAACGCAGAUGGGUGACGAUGUUGCUGAUCCUGAAGGCGGGGUUUCCUACGCCUCCAUCAGAUACAACAAGAAGGGGAAAAGAGGAGCUCGGGUUUGUGCUAAAGACGAUGCUGACGAUGGUUCAGUGAUCUAUGCCUCCGUCAAAGCUUCUUCUUCUUCUACUGCUGCAGGAGCCUCUGCUGAUCCCAGCAUCCUCUACGCCACCAUCAACAAAGAGAAGAAAUAAGAAUCCAAAGUAAAGUUACAACUCAGGUUUUUUCAGCAUUCUACACUGAAAACUACGGCGCCCUACAAGGCUCAGGUAGGACUAAAAAAGCAAUUUGUAAAUCUUUUUUUCACGGUUCACAAAUCUGUGUGCACAGUUUAUUAACAGUGCCCAUGGAUUUGUAAACCGUGUGCAUGGAUUUGCAAUCUCCAGGCACACUUUCAGUUUAAGAAACCGUGCGCACUGUUUUGAAAUCUGUGGGCACCAUUUAGGAAUCUGUGCCCACAGAUUGUAAAUCAGUGUGCAUGGAUUUGUUGAAAUGAUCGACAGCUUUUUAUUUUUUGUCUCACCUGAGCCUUGCAGGGCUCAGUAGAAAACAGAUACUGAUAGAUGUGUUUGUAUGAGACUUUGUGUUGUUAACUUUCAAGAGUUAUUGCUUUAAGAUGCUUUUCCUUCAAAAGAGGGCGUUGUAGGUUUACUAGUAGCACAAAGACCUAGCAUAAUACCUCUGCAUGAAAUGUAAAUCUACGGAGAUCCUGAAGUCCCAAAAGUUAAAAAAAGAUAUUGGGCACACCAGUUAAUAUCUUGUGUGAACACGAUACUAACGAACCUUUGACUACAUGCUAGUGUGUGUGAGCGCUGACUGUUUCUUGUCUUAAUCCUUGCACACAGGAUAUUCACUUGUGAGCACAACAUAGCAUCUUGUGCACAAGUUAGAUGAUAACUCAAGUGCACAAGAUAUUUUUUUCCACUUUUGGGACUUCAGGGGCUCCGUAUGAACCAGCUUUUAAAAUAAGUUUAUAUACGCAGCAGGCACUUUGAUGUGCAUGUGUUAAGUUGUAGUUUCUCAUCACUGCUCAGAUCAUUCUGUAUGUACUGAGAGGUACAUGACUGAGAAGAGGAAGUGAGAUAACGAUCAUCUUGACUAAGUCACAUCCGAGAGUCUGUAGAAACCCAUAAAAGGCUAAAUCGACAGAGUGUGAACUUCAUGACAGAUAAAAGAAGGAGGAACCAGAAAGUGGGGUAAUAUACACUUUACUAAUAAGAGGAAGGUGAGGAAUAGUUCUCUUGAUGCAGCUCCAGGUUAGACGCUUAAAAGAGAGAGGAGAGAGACAUGAGGGUUCAGUUGUUGAAAUGUUUUCUUCUGAACAUCAUAAAAUAGCUCUUCGACUCGAUUUAGGUGAGAAUAUUAUUACAAGAACUUCAUUUCAUGAAUGCGUUCUUAUACCUUAAACACAGUUAGUCUGAGUUUUGUAAUAAUACUUCUUGUGUGCAGCUCAAUGUGUUCAAUUUAAGAAGUGAAAUAUACAUGUUUGUUAACGUUUAAAUCCUGGAAAAUAUGGAGGCAGCUAUACGUUUCUGUUGUUGAUCUGAUGGUCUGUUUCUUUGAAAAAUAUCUUAUUUACAUUCACGUCGAUGAUGAGCGACAUUUACCUGCCCAGCGAGACUAAAGGAACAAUGUGCGACAUGUUACACCUGAAUAUAUCUUAAACCAAGUCUAUCCUGUGUAAAUGUCUCUCUGAGUCAUGACUGUCUACAAUGAGGGAGAAGCUC